rnacentral:rRNA from 1 species
GACGUAGGUGGCGAACGUUAUCCGGAUUUAUUGGGCGUAAAGGAUGCGUAGACGGUAAAACAAGUUACUACUUGACGUCGAGCUCAACUUGACUGAAAUUAGUAAUACUAUUUUGCUAGAGAUUGGGAGAAGUUGAUGGAAAUCUAUGUGGAGGGGUGAAAUGCGUAGAUAUCGUUUGGAACGCCAAUGGUGAAAACAGGUCGCUGGGGAUGAGCUGACGCUGAGACACGAAAGCCAGGGGAGCAAACAGG